GUAGCUACAACCAUACAAAUCAGUUACUAUGGGGAUGUGGAUACAGAGGAAGCAAGGCUGGACGAUUUCACGGUUGGUCGUCUCUCUGCUGUGACCAGCUGGUCUGACCAUUCAGCUGUGCAGUGGGGUCAACACGACCGUCUUGUUACCUCGGACUGGGUGAAUUAACCAAACAGCGUGAUGGAUAAACUGCCCCUCGACAAACGACAGCAUGUCCCCUUCUCUUGCACUCCACCCUCAAUCCUUUUCUCUCGGUCUAUACACUGUCAGUUGUUGGUUGGCCGGGCCGACAUUCUAAGGCUCAUUAAAAUACGAGCUGUUUGCUUUGCCCCUGUGAGCUCCCAUAAUCAUGUGUUGUUUUUAGCCCAAAUCACUUCCAGUGAUCAGUUACACACGCUGUACCACCCCCUCUUCCUCGUGCCCCUUCCCAACCUCUACCUCACUGGGCAGGAAUAUGUAUUUUUCAUCUCCGCUCGGCUGUCAGGGGGGAUUUGAGAGGCAGGCUAAGAGAAACACUGGAGAAACACCAGCGCUCUGAGUCAGACAACCUGCUUGGAUAGCUUGCUGCCUCACAGGCUGCCUUGAUAGCACUGUCUGACUGCCUCACAACCUGCCUGGAUAGCUUGCUGCCUCACAGGCUGCCUUGAUAGCACUGUCUGACUGCCUCACAACCUGCCUGGAUAGCUUGCCUGCCUCACAGCCUGUCUUGAUAGCACUCACUGUCUGACUGCCUGCCUCACAGCCUACCUGGAAAUCCUGCCUGCCUCACUGACCAUCUGUCUGACUACACCCUGGGCCUGGGAAAAAGAGAGAGACACAACCUGACCUCAGGUCAGGGCCUGCAGUCUGGUUCUGGUGGUGAUGAGGAAAGGAUUAACACAGUGGUAUUCAAAUGUCGGGGUCGCGAUGGAACUGCAGCAGGGUUUAUUGAGUAAAUGUAAUUAUUUUUAUUUUGAUGAGAUGAAAAUGCAAUGAAUUGAAGGUUCUGUUGAUGUAAAGAUCCAAAUGUACAGAUUUUAAGAUUGUGUCAUUAGAUUUGGAGUGUAGUGGGGUUUUUCUUUGGGGGAAAAAUGGGUUUCCAAAAAAGUUUGAAUACCACUGGUUUAAAAUGCGCACGUUACGAUAAAGAGGGUCAGUUGAUCAACAACUCACUCACACACUUCCUCAUACGAGACAUGUAAAAUCAGCUCAUCUUUCACCUCCAUUCCAGGCAUGCGUGUGUGUUGUGACAUUUUCAGAGAGGGAGGGUUAUGUUAGCAGACAAAGGGCCCUCGUUUUUCCACCCUGGUACUACAGGCCCCCAGUGAACCCGGGGUGAGGUAUGGGGACACAUUCUACAGAGAUCAUAGUGCACAGGAAGAGAAGCAGGCCCUUUUUCCUUUUUUUGCUCCCCUGACCCUCUACUCCCUCAUACGUCUGUCCCCUCCCACCUCGCCCGGCCCUCUCACCCGAGAUGCUUUGAUCUCUCCCCUGGCUGUCACUCCUCAGGUUACAGCUACCCACUACACAAGUGCUAAAUAACCAGCUCCCCCCUCCCCCUCUUUUUCUGUCUCACCU
ensembl:lncRNA